rnacentral:tRNA from 1 species
GCCGCAAUAGCUCAGUUGGUAGAGCACCUGAUUUGUAAUCAGGGGGUCGCGGGUUCGAAUCCUGCUUGCGGCACCA